rnacentral:piRNA from 1 species
UGCAGGCUUGCAUGAGUAAAGGCCGC